rnacentral:rRNA from 1 species
UACAGAGGCCUCAAGCGUUGUUCGGAUUCAUUGGGCGUAAAGGGCGCGUAGGCUGCGGGGCAAGUCGGGUGUGAAAUCUCAGAGCUCAACUCUGAAACUGCACUCGAUACUGCUUUGCUCGAGGACUGGAGAGGAGAUUGGAAUUCACGGUGUAGCAGUGAAAUGCGUAGAUAUCGUGAGGAAGACCAGUGGCGAAGGCGGAUCUCUGGACAGUUCCUGACGCUGAGGCGCGAAGGCCAGGGGAGCAAACGGG